AACGAACGCUGGCGGCAGGCUUAACACAUGCAAGUCGAACGCACCUUUCGGGGUGAGUGGCAGACGGGUGAGUAACGCGUGGGGAUCUACCCUUCUCUACGGGAUAGCUCCGGGAAACUGGAAUUAAUACCGUAUACGUCCUGAGGGAGAAAGAUUUAUCGGGGAAGGAUGAGCCCGCGUUGGAUUAGCUAGUUGGUGGGGUAAAGGCCUACCAAGGCGACGAUCCAUAGCUGGUCUAAGAGGAUGAUCAGCCACAUUGGGACUGAGACACGGCCCAAACUCCUACGGGAGGCAGCAGUGGGGAAUAUUGGACAAUGGGCGCAAGCCUGAUCCAGCCAUGCCGCGUGAGUGAUGAAGGCCCUAGGGUUGUAAAGCUCUUUCAGUGGGGACGAUAAUGACGGUACCCACAGAAGAAGCCCCGGCUAACUUCGUG
rnacentral:rRNA from 1 species